UUACGCAUGCGCAGAAAGGAAUACCUCGAAGGAAAAAUCCCACGAAUGUCCAUCACUGGGUCAACUUUUUCGACGCGCAUACGCGACUGGAAGCAGAAUCGGGCAUCACAGAUCACGGUAAGGAUAUCGCAAAUGAAAUGGACGCUACAAUGAAGAGACAAAUUACGAGGACAUGCUGCUCGAUGAUGAUAAUUUUUAAUUAUUAUCAAUGAUACGCGUACAAACAUCAAGUCGUCGCAGCAGCCGCUGCUGCCUCAGACGCCAGUCCCACCGUUGCCAUCGCAGCAGCCACUGCUGCCACAAACACGGCCCUCGUCGCCACAACCACAGGCACAGCCCCUGCGACCGCCUCCACCGGCUACACCAUGGGUGGCCACGCAUGUAGAGGCAGACCAUCCAAAGGAAGCGGAAUUGAUCAUGAGGAUUCUUGUCCCAUGAAAACAAGAAUAAUAGAACACGAUUAUACAAUGUUAUUACCUGUACAUAAUAACACAACUCAAAUACCAUCAACUUUGAAAAAUGUUCACAGCAUUUAUGUACCAACAGAAAGCAUUGUGAAUCACAUAUCAAUAAAAGAGUCUUCCAAUAGUU